rnacentral:rRNA from 1 species
AUUGAACGCUGGCGGAAUGCUUUACACAUGCAAGUCGAGCGGCAGCACGGGGGCAACCCUGGUGGCGAGCGGCGAACGGGUGAGUAAUACAUCGGAACAUGCCCAGUCGUGGGGGAUAACACUUCGAAAGAAGUGCUACUACCGCAUACGUCCUGAGGGAGAAAGCGGGGGAUCUUCGGACCUCGCGCGAUUGGAGUGGCCGAUGUCAGAUUAGCUAGUUGGUGGGGUAAAGGCCUACCAAGGCAACGAUCUGUAGCUGGUCUGAGAGGAUGAUCAGCCACACUGGGACUGAGACACGGCCCAGACUCCUACGGGAGGCAGCAGUGGGGAAUUUUGGACGAUGGGGGCAACCCUGAUCCAGCCAUUCCGCGUGAGUGAAGAAGGCCUUCGGGUUGUAAAGCUCUUUCGGCAGGAACGAAACGGCGAGCUCUAACAUAGCUUGCUAAUGACGGUACCUGAAGAAGAAGCACCGGCUAACUACGUGCCAGCAGCCGCGGUAAAAC